UCGAUUUCUUUUUAAACGGAAACCCACUCCAAAAUGACAACGAUGAACAACUUCCCUUCCGAUUAUAAACUCUGCUACUCCAAUUGCUAUUACUUUAUUUCAGUUUCUGAGAUGAUUUGUUCGUCUUCUCUGCUUCAUGGGUCUGAAGAAUCCUUGCCUUAUCAGAUUGCGUGCCUCUUAAGGAUUAUCGCUUUGCUGAUUAUGGUCAGGCGCCAGAUGCAUUGCCAUCUCUGGCAGCUAUCAAGUCUCAGUCGCAUGUUCAUGGAUUGCCAGCUUUCUCCUCUUUUGUUGGUUCUCCAUCGUCUCUACAGCAAGGGGGUGAUUGCAGUUUAUCACAGACUUACCAUCAACAAUCACAGUUUGAGGAAUUGGCAUUUUGGCAGUCAUUGCAGAAGCAGCAAAAUAACAUAGCGCUCCCAGGGAGCCUCUAUUCUCAGCCACUGCAGCAGCAUCACAGAAACAUUGAGCCUCUAAAGCCAUCACACAAGCAGCAUAUAAGCAUGGAGCCACCAUUCUCAGUUUCAACAGCAGAAUCUCAAUUUCACUGAGCGUCCACUGAAGAUGGGAGAAGAACAUUCUCAAGAAGUUCCUCAUGCCAUCAGCCCCUCACCAUAUGAGUCACAAUCACAGCAGUUAAUUCUUCCUGGCUUGAGGAUCAAUGAAGGAAAAUCUGUUAGCCAGAAGCCUCCAACAUUUAGUAGUGGGCAGUAUCUCCCUCAAAGAGGUUUUGACAAAGGGAAAGAGAAGGUAACUUCAUUUUCUACUGAUGUGGACAACUUGACAUAUGCAAUAAAUGAACGACUAGCUCUAGAAUUGUCCAGGAGUGGGGGUCGAUCAAAUGCUUUGUAUUCUGUUAGUCCGGAGCUAGAAUACAUUCAUCAGACUCCUGCUGUGAGAACUGAUAUUACAUUGGAUAGAGAAAUUGAGGAUUCAGGAAGCAAUUCCCUGAUGGAACUCAUGGAGGUGCUAAAAGAAUGUAGCCCUCCAGGACCAGAUAUUCCUGAUCCAUAUGGAGACUCUAAUGGGCCAUUGUUUGAUAUCCCUUUCUUUUCCAGGAUCACCGGGCUUUCUGGCUUGUCAGGUCCUGUUAGCAGUUUGGAGAAUUUCCCUUUGCCAUGUAAUGCUAAGGAUUUGCACUGAGAAAAGGCAAACAAGUAUUGAACAUGAACAGGAAAAGACGGAUUUUU